UUGGAGCUUGGUAACACUCCCUGUCAUCAUCAUAAUGGACUCAUUUGGUCACAAGUCCUGAGGUUAGGUCAGUUGCAUGACUCCUGUUUUUUCCAUUCUAGUCAAAGUGAGACUAAUGUACACUGGAUGGUGGCACACAAAUCUUUAAGACUCUUGAGGGGACAGAGUUGACCAGAGAGAUGACUGUGAUGAUUAGCAGGAAGGUGAUUCCAGGAGAUUACAGUGCAAUGCUUCACAAGAACGCAACGGAGCUCAACUGAUCAAAUUGAAAAAAAUCAAAUCUCCGGCUAUGCUGGAAGACCAAUCACCAAAUCCAGGUUAUUUUGCAGAGAGAAAGCUAUUACAAGGAGAUCAGGAGCAGAAGCAGAGGAGUCACAUAAAUUCAACUUGUCAUGGAAUAGCUCCUUCUCUAACAACAAGCCUUGAGAUAAGAAAGCAAUAGUCAUUGUACAAAUAAGUUAAUUUUGUUGAGGUUUAUGUAAAUCUAUGGAAGGUCUCUAUAAAGCCUAAAAUACAAAAGUUAAUUAUAGUCCUAAUAUAAACUAAAUAUCAAUUAGUGAUUGUCAUUGACUGGAAACAGUAUUAACCAUAUUGAAUAUAUUAUUAUCUAACUUUUUGUCACAAUUUUACAAAGACAGUAUUAAUAUAUCCAUUUUACAGAAUAAAAUACAGAAGCAAAAAGAAGCCAUAAGGCAGAUGCCUAAAGCCACAGUUUAAACAUCAGACUAAAUUCUUAUUGUUGAAAAGGUGCCUUUUUU